rnacentral:rRNA from 1 species
UUCGAUUCUGGCUCAGGAUGAACGCUAGCUACAGGCUUAACACAUGCAAGUCGAGGGGCAGCAUGGUCUUAGCUUGCUAAGGCUGAUGGCGACCGGCGCACGGGUGAGUAGCGCGUAUCCAACCUUCCCCUUAGUAGGGCAUAGCCCGGCGAAAGUCGGAUUAAUACCCUAUGUUGUCAAUAGAGGACAUCUGAAGCUGACCAAAGGUUUACCGCUAAGGGAUGGGGAUGCGUCUGAUUAGGUUGCAGGCGGGGUAACGGCCCACCUGGCCGACGAUCAGUAGGGGUUCUGAGAGGAAGGUCCCCCACACUGGUACUGAGACACGGACCAGACUCCUCCGGGAGGCAGCAGUGAGGAAUAUUGGUCAAUGGGCGCGAGCCUGAACCAGCCAAGUAAGCGUGCAGGAUGACGGCCCUAUGGGUUGUAAACUGCUUUUAUACGGGGAUAAAGUUCACCACGUGUGGUGUUUUGUAGGUACCGUAUGAAUAAGGACCGGCUAAUUCCGUGCCAGCCGCGGC